UACGUAGGGUGCGAGCGUUGUUCGGAUUUAUUGGGCGUAAAGGGUGCGUAGGCGGCGGAGUAAGUUGGGUGUGAAAUCCCGGGGCUCAACCUCGGAAUGGCAUUCAAUACUGCUUCGCUAGAGUACUGGAGAGGAGGCUGGAAUUUACGGUGUAGCAGUGAAAUGCGUAGAUAUCGUAAGGAAGGCCGGUGGCGAAAGCGAGCCUCUGGACAGUUACUGACGCUGAUGCACGAAGGCCAGGGGAGCAAACGGG
rnacentral:rRNA from 1 species